GUGCAGCAGGCGAGAAAAACUUCACACUGUGCGAAAGCACGAUGGAGGGAAUCCCAAGUGCUUGCACGUAAGUGUAAGCUGUUUCUCUGUUUAAAACGCAGAGAGAGUAAGGGCUGGGUAAGACGGGUGCCAGCCGCCGCGGUAACACCGGCGGUCCAACUGGUGAUCAGCAUUAUUGGGUCUAAAGCGUCCGUAGCCGGAUGGUUGGAUUUCGAGUGAAACUUCCCCAGCUUAACGUGGGGGGCGUGCUUGAAACACCCGCCAUCUAGGGGACCGGGAGAGGGUAGGGGGUAGGCCCCGGGUAGAAGUAAAA
rnacentral:rRNA from 1 species